rnacentral:lncRNA from 1 species
UUACACAUGUCUACUUUGCAUGUUUUAUUUUUACUUAAUUUUACCACUAAUUCAUCAAUCAAUAUAUUUUUCUAUAUGCAGUUAUCAAUUUAUAUAAAUGAAUUAUUGAAGUAGAUAAUUUCUGUUUUGAAUGAUGAGAAUGUUCAGUUUCGACCAUGUUUUGUUUACCAACAUAUUGAGUUUGGAAAUUAUAUAUUUUUUAACAUAUUGUUUUGAGUUUUUUUAUGAUGCUGUUUAUUAAAUUUUUGCUGUCGAUUUGAACCCAAAAUGUGAUUGUGUCAAAAAUUAAUGCUUUUUCAGAUGAUUUUUAAUAUAUAUCAGAUGAAAAAAUUGCUUCAAAAUAUAAAUAACUUGUAAAACUUGAGGUGGCUUUUUUAAAUUCAUAAUAAAAAAUAUACAUUAUUUCAUUUUUUAGAUUUUUCUAUUG